rnacentral:snRNA from 1 species
AGCUUUGCACAGUGGCAGUCUCAGCCAAUGAGGUUUAUCUGAGGCGCGAUUUUUGCUAAUUGAAAACUUUUAAAGUU